rnacentral:lncRNA from 1 species
GUUCGGCAACUACAACACGGACCAGGCGAGCACGUACGCGCCGCAGAUCGUGGACACCAUCUCCGCCGGCGUGGAGAAGCUGGUGGCGAUGGGGGCGACGGACGUGGUGGUGCCGGGCGUGCUCCCCAUCGGCUGCUUCCCCAUCUACCUCACCAUCUACGGCACCUCCAGCGCCGCCGACUACGACUCCCUCGGCUGCCUCAAGAAGUUCAACGACCUCUCCACGUACCACAACAGCCUGCUCCAGGCCAAGGUGUCCACCCUCCAGGCCAAGUACAAGUCGGCCCGCAUCAUGUACGCCGACUUCUACGCCGGCGUCUACGACAUGGUCCGGAGCCCCAGCAAAUACGGUACGUCUACAUGCCUACACACUAGUCAUAAUACGUACUGGAGGACAUGAUUUCAUGCACACGCCGGCGGCUAGUCUCGCCGUGGCGGCACUGUGGGUGGGUGGAUUUCAGUUUUCAAACUCGCCGUGGACCACGUCCUCCGUUGUCGGCGCAGAGCGUUUCUCGUUGUUGGACGCGCCCGUCACGCUCUGUCCUGGCAGUGCGGCAGCACCAGCACGGGACAUGCAUGCAUGGUGGCGGGAUUAAAUGAAGGAUUAUUCGGCGUUUAAGGCUCAUGCAGUGCCGCACUGCUGCACCACACCACUUGCUCUGCACUGCUGGCCGGUAGCGUGGUCACCACCACAUGCCCGUCCGUGCGUCCGUGCGUGCGACGGCCGUAGGGACGGAUUCCUGCCGUUAGCCCGGGCUGCGCGCUCCGGCGCCGGCCGUGGGAGCGUGAUCGUGUCC